AUUGAACGCUGGCGGCAGGCCUAACACAUGCAAGUCGAGCGGAUGAGUGGAGCUUGCUCCAUGAUUCAGCGGCGGACGGGUGAGUAAUGCCUAGGAAUCUGCCUGGUAGUGGGGGACAACAGUUGGAAACGACUGCUAAUACCGCAUACGUCCUACGGGAGAAAGCAGGGGACCUUCGGGCCUUGCGCUAUCAGAUGAGCCUAGGUCGGAUUAGCUAGUAGGUGAGGUAAUGGCUCACCUAGGCGACGAUCAGUAACUGGUCUGAGAGGAUGAUCAGUCACACUGGAACUGAGACACGGUCCAGACUCCUACGGGGGGCAGCAGUGGGGAAGAUUGGACAAUGGGCGAAAGCCUGAUGCAGCCAUGCCGAGUGUGUGAAGAAGGUCUUCGGAUUGUAAAGCACUUUAAGUUGGGAGGAAGGGCAGUAAGUUAAUACCUUGCUGUUUUGACGUUACCAACAGAAUAAGCAUCGGCUAACUUCGUGCCAGCAGCCGCCGUAAAAC
rnacentral:rRNA from 1 species